rnacentral:rRNA from 1 species
UACGUAGGGUGCAAGCGUUAAUCGGAAUUACUGGGCGUAAAGCGUGCGCAGGCGGUGAUGUAAGACAGUUGUGAAAUCUUUGGGCUCAACCUGGGAACUGCAUCUGUGACUGCAUCGCUGGAGUGCGGCAGAGGGGGAUGGAAUUCCGCGUGUAGCAGUGAAAUGCGUAGAUAUGCGGAGGAACAUCGAUGGCGAAGGCAAUCCUUUGGGCCUGCACUGACGCUCAUGCACGAAAGCGUGGGGAGCAAACAGG